rnacentral:tRNA from 1 species
UGGGGUAUAGCUCAGUGGUUAGAGCACCCGCAUACGUAUCGGAAGGUCGGGGGUUCGACUCCCUCUGCCUCCA